AGUUACCGCAGGGACUUAAUUAAACAGCCAGCACAGGUGUGCAGUCGGUUGAGCUCUUCUCCCGUCUUACACAAUUACAUGACAAGACUCGGCUUACAUGAAAAUGUAAAAUCGAACUGGCUUUCAAGUUCAACAUAUGUUUCUCGUCAGAAUGAAGGUACCAGAGGAGGAAUUAAUGAGCGAUAUAUUGAAGCGGCUGACGGGUGAGUCUGCGCUCCCUUUGUACAGCAACGUGGAAAAGUUCAAACGAGGGAAGGAUGGCUUGUACUUCGUCGCGGAGGACUUCAAUGAAACCGUGAAAAAAAGGGAAUUGGUCAACGCAAAGGAGCGACUGAGAAUCAGGAACUUGAACACCAUGUUCUCACGCUUAAAGCGCAUGGUUCCACUGAUGCGACCAGAUCGGAAACCAAGUAAAGUGGACACACUUAAAGCUGCGACUGAAUACAUUAGAUUGCUUGUUGCAGUUCUGCAGGAUGCUGAUAGUGAUAAUGGCAGUGGGACUGAUUUCCUAAAGAAUGCAAUCACUUAUGGCCAGACUGAAGGCUUCGGUAGUGACCUGUGGAGGAUGGAUGACUUGCUGAACAUGACGGAGGAGCACAUGGAUGAUGGGUUCACUUUGCCCCCAGAACCAGUACCAGAGGGUGGAGACAUGAGCAGACUGGUGUUGCAACAUUGUGUGAUGCCCUCGUACCAGUUCAUCAUCCAAGUAGCCUCUGAUCAGAGCGCGAUGUCUCAACCCCUCUGAGUUGUCAAGAGCGCAUACCUUGGACCAAUACUGGAAGUCUGCCAGGUGUUUUUUUUUUAUGCAUAAAUAUCAAUCAGCAAGCACAGAAAAAAAGAGCCCAAUGGUUUGAAGAAAAGGAUCUUUCUUGAAGAAAAUACAAUUUUACCCAUCUUAUUUAAUUUCGCUUUAGAAAUUUACAUUUUGUGUUUGAGUCGAUAUAUGUGUGCUUUUAUUUUCAUUCAACAAGCAGGAUCCUUGGCAGCCAUUAAAUAAAAGCUGUAAGACUU